GGGCCUUUAGCUCAGUUGGUUAGAGCACCCGACUCAUAAUCGGUAGGUCCCCAGUUCAAGUCUGGGAAGGCCCACCA
rnacentral:tRNA from 13 species